AUGGCUCAGGAUGAACGCUGGCGGCGUGCCUAAUACAUGCAAGUCGAACGAGUUCUGAUUAUUGAAAGGUGCUUGCAUCUUGAUUUAAUUUUGAACGAGUGGCGGACGGGUGAGUAACACGUGGGUAACCUGCCCUUAAGUGGGGGAUAACAUUUGGAAACAGAUGCUAAUACCGCAUAAAUCCAAGAACCGCAUGGUUCUUGGCUGAAAGAUGGCGUAAGCUAUCGCUUUUGGAUGGACCCGCGGCGUAUUAGCUAGUUGGUGAGGUAACGGCUCACCAAGGCAAUGAUACGUAGCCGAACUGAGAGGUUGAUCGGCCACAUUGGGACUGAGACACGGCCCAAACUCCUACGGGAGGCAGCAGUAGGGAAUCUUCCACAAUGGACGCAAGUCUGAUGGAGCAACGCCGCGUGAGUGAAGAAGGCUUUCGGGUCGUAAAACUCUGUUGUUGGAGAAGAAUGGUCGGCAGAGUAACUGUUGUCGGCGUGACGGUAUCCAACCAGAAAGCCACGGCUAACUACGUGCCAGCAGCCGCGGUAAUACGUAGGUGGCAAGCGUUAUCCGGAUUUAUUGGGCGUAAAGCGAGCGCAGGCGGUUUUUUAAGUCUGAUGUGAAAGCCCUCGGCUUAACCGAGGAAGUGCAUCGGAAACUGGGAAACUUGAGUGCAGAAGAGGACAGUGGAACUCCAUGUGUAGCGGUGAAAUGCGUAGAUAUAUGGAAGAACACCAGUGGCGAAGGCGGCUGUCUGGUCUGUAACUGACGCUGAGGCUCGAAAGCAUGGGUAGCGAACAGGAUUAGAUACCCUGGUAGUCCAUGCCGUAAACGAUGAAUGCUAGGUGUUGGAGGGUUUCCGCCCUUCAGUGCCGCAGCUAACGCAUUAAGCAUUCCGCCUGGGGAGUACGACCGCAAGGUUGAAACUCAAAGGAAUUGACGGGGGCCCGCACAAGCGGUGGAGCAUGUGGUUUAAUUCGAAGCAACGCGAAGAACCUUACCAGGUCUUGACAUCUUUUGAUCACCUGAGAGAUCAGGUUUCCCCUUCGGGGGCAAAAUGACAGGUGGUGCAUGGUUGUCGUCAGCUCGUGUCGUGAGAUGUUGGGUUAAGUCCCGCAACGAGCGCAACCCUUAUGACUAGUUGCCAGCAUUUAGUUGGGCACUCUAGUAAGACUGCCGGUGACAAACCGGAGGAAGGUGGGGAUGACGUCAAAUCAUCAUGCCCCUUAUGACCUGGGCUACACACGUGCUACAAUGGAUGGUACAACGAGUUGCGAGACCGCGAGGUCAAGCUAAUCUCUUAAAGCCAUUCUCAGUUCGGACUGUAGGCUGCAACUCGCCUACACGAAGUCGGAAUCGCUAGUAAUCGCGGAUCAGCACGCCGCGGUGAAUACGUUCCCGGGCCUUGUACACACCGCCCGUCACACCAUGAGAGUUUGUAACACCCGAAGCCGGUGGCGUAACCCUUUUAGGGAGCGAGCCGUCUAAAGUGGGACAAAUGAUUAG
rnacentral:rRNA from 1 species